AAUACCCUGCCGUUCGCGUGAUGCAACGGUGAAUCUCUGACCCGAUAACCUUCAUCUGAAGGGCCGAUCUCCGGCGGUGGACGACAUGCCUUCACAGGAAGCCGGCAAGCCGUCGGGUAGGCGCUCCGUUUAAUUACGGGGUCUGGAGAAUACGUUCACACGGCUCUGGUGGGGUAUUU
rnacentral:sRNA from 1 species